rnacentral:lncRNA from 1 species
GUAUGAUAAGCAAGCACAAAUCAAUUGUAACAACAACCAUACUUGUCAAUUUAUGUUAUAAGCGAAGAAACUCCUGGGGAUGCUUUGAGCAAUCAUUUCUUUUGUCACAUCCAAAAGAACUUUUGCAUCCUGCCUGGUUUACAUCAUUCCCUGCUCAACACUUCAUAUGUAUAUACUAGUUAGAAUAGCCCAGGCCCAACAUGAACAAAAGCUAUAUUCGGUAAAAGUUGAUACAAUAUGUUAUGCCUAGUAGUGAAAUAGAGAAACUUGUUUCUCCUUUGAUUUUUAAAUUUCAAUUUCCAAAGAAUGGAUAAGUGAGACGGAAAGUAGAGAUCGGCCUGAGUUGUGCCUCGAUUGAUGUGCAAAAGGUAGAAGACAUAGAUUACAAGAUUCUGUAAUAUGUAUUUCAAUAGUGAGUUGACAAAGUUUUGCAUCCAUCCAAAGCAAGCCAAGAACUAAGGUGCGGUAGAAAGAUUAUUAAUAAAUUUGUAACAGUAAUAUGAACCAAAAGAAAAAAUUGAUUACCUCGCUUUGUUGCAACUCCUGUCAAUGUCUUUUCCAUAGAGUUAAAAAAAAUGCAGGCUUCACAUGUGCCUUUUGUCUUGUCUUUUGCAUAGAUGUCAAAGCUUAGAACAAGACACAUUAAUACACUGAAAAGAAUAAACUUGUUCAAUAAAUUUAUAAAUUAAUGAAAACACACAGAUUACCAAAUAUUUGUCCCUUUUUCUUUUCGUUUAACCUUCCGUUUGACUGCUUUGCUUCUCUGCAACAAGCUUCUUGUGUGUUGAUAAAAGAUUCAUUAAAUCCACAUAUUUGUCAUUCUCCUAGCACUUUCUAUCUGCAGCUGAACUAUGUUUGUUUUUUCUAAACUAUGGUUGUUUUUUGGAACAAUGAGAGCAAAGAAAUAUAUUCAAUUGAUAACCACAUAAUACACAAUCAAUCUUUUCAACAAGAAGUGAAUCUUUAUAGCAAUAAAUAAUAGGGAAAAAACACUAAGAUUAAAUACCCUAUUUUUUAAUUGAACUGCUAUUGGAAGAUAAAAGUUAAAAGGAAAAAAGAACAAAAAAUGCAACUAUCCAAUUAUCUACUACAAGUGUCAUCACAUUCAAGUCGAAGACGACCAUGACAACCCCAAGGAAGUAGUACAAGAAUCCAGUAAUUUUAAUGCACUGCAGGAACAUAGUACUCAUGAAAAAGGGCUUCAGGAAGCAAAACAUACGAAUUACCAGAACCAUGAAGAGGAAUCAGUUAGCAUUUUCCCAGACAUCAAAGAUCUCCUUGCUAUCAAUCUAAUUGUCGACCUGAAUAAGAGCCUUGUUAGCGAUUCGAACACCACCGUGAAGCCCACAAAUGCUCUCAAGAAUACAGGGAAAGGAAACAACAAGACAAAGAAUCAUCAGCACAAGAUCACCAACAAAAGAUUGUGCAUCAACCUGUUGAUGUUACCUCUCCUAACAGAUUAACUAUUACUAUUCCUGAAGAUCAACUUCAAUAUGAGGCCUUUGAUAAUGGCAACAAUGAUGGUUUCUCUCCUGCCAAGAAAAAUAAAAAUAUACAGGGGAAAGACAACAACAAGAAAAACAAUGAAAAAUCUACUCUCCCUACUACAAAGGGAAAUACAAACUGAUCUAUCUCCUUGUUAUCAAUGAUUAGUUCCAUUUUUUUUGGAAUAUAUAUUAAGGGUGUUAAGUCCCAAAAAGCCACUCACAGGCUUAAAAAACGUAUACAAAUCAACAAGAUUGAUCUUAAUGUAAUCAUGGAAUCCCAUGUAAACAUAAAAAUAUCAACAAUUACAUAAAAUUCUUGGGAUAUCAACACUGCAUGCAUCUCCAAUACAAAUAGCCAAAUUUAGCUCUUUUGGAAUAGGAAUCACCAAAACAAUGAUUGUUGCUAACACCGACUAGCAAAUUACCAUAAAAAUGUUUUACAGUCCCUCCAAUUGUGACUUGUAUGUUACAGAUAUUUAUGCAAAAUGCACCUCAGGUGAAAGACAUGAGUUCUAGGUAGAUCUUAAUAAUGUCCUCAAUAUGAUUCAAGGUCCUAGGUGCAUUGGGGGUGUCUUUAAUGUCAUUCUGGAUCACGAGAAGAAAAUGGGUGGCAAGACACAUAGAAUUAGAGAUAGCUUGGAUUUUAGCUCUUGUAUGGACUAUGGAUGCUUGUGAAGUCGUAGUAGAUCUGGGAUUUACUGGUCCAAAAUUCACAUGGUGUAACAAUAGGAAGCCAUGAAAAAGAAUCUGAAAGAGGCUAGACAAAAUGUUUAUUAAUGAUGAUUGGGCUCGAAUUUUCCACUGCAAUCAAGUUAAUCACCUCGGAAGAACAGGUUCCGAUCACAUGCCUCCUCUUAUCAAAUGCCACAAUGACCCGCAAGUAAAUAUAAAAAUAUUUCAAGUUUUUAGAUUUUUGGGCUGAUCAAUCUAACUUUAUGUAGCUAGUUGAACAGUCUUGGAACACCAAUGUCAUUGGUAACCCUAUGUGGAGGCUUCAAUCCUAACUCAAAAUGCUUAGCAAAAAUCUUAGUACUUGGUCUAGAGAAGUUGUUGGAAAUAUGUUUGAUCAGGCUAAGAUUUGGGAAGAGAAGCUUCACUACUUAGAAGAACAAGACCUCUUAAGUCUAACUAGUUUUAACUUAAUUCCAACAAUAGGAUCAAGUGUCAACACUAGAUGGACACAAAUCGAUCUUGCAAGAAAAUCAAUUUUGUCAUCAAUAGGAUCAACUAGUGUUGGUACUUAUGCUUAAGAAACACAUUAUUCCUAAAUUAAAGCUUAGUAUCAAUACUAGAUGGACACGAAUUGAUCUUGCAAGAAUAUCAAUUUUGUCAUCAAUAGGAUCAACUAGUGUUGGUACUUAUGCUUAAGAAACUACAUUAUCCUAAAUUAAAGCUUAGUAUCAAUACUAGAUGGACACGAAUUGAUCUUGCAAGAAUAUCAAUUUUGUCAUCAAUAGGAUCAACUAGUGUUGGUACUUAUGCUAAACAAACAACUCGAUGGACACAAACAAAUUAUACAUAAAAUUAAAGCUAAGUAUCAAUACUAGAUGGACACAAACACAUUAUAGAAACAAUUGUACUUGAACUUUAGAAAUUUUAGAAGCACCAAACCUUAUCUCCU